CAGUGGGGAAUAUUGGACAAUGGGCGAAAGCCUGAUCCAGCCAUGCCGCGUGUGUGAAGAAGGUCUUCGGAUUGUAAAGCACUUUAAGUUGGGAGGAAGGGCAGUAAGUUAAUACCUUGCUGUUUUGACGUUACCGACAGAAUAAGCACCGGCUAACUCUGUGCCAG
rnacentral:rRNA from 1 species